GAAAAUGCUAUGCUACCCGCUGCAGGCCCACGAUCACGACCACGGCUCAGUCCUCGGGAUAGUUCACGUAAAGGCGAUCUGUCUCCUCGUCGUACUGCCAUGCCAGCUGGGUGCCGUCGGGAUCAUCUGACUCUGGGGUACCUGUACCUGCUGGAAGUUUCGGAGGAAUCCGUGAGCCACGGGGACUCAGCAAUCUAAGACCUUGGUGCCAGAACUAGUCAUGUUAUUGGGUAAGGAAGGGGUGAAGUGUUUCGGGCAGCUGCAACCUAUGAUUGAAUAAGUGGCUAACUUACGCGAGAAGGAAGUGAAAGUGGUCUACGCUAACGAUCGGGAAUACUUGAUCAGAAAGUGAUCCUGAACACCUACCUACGGCAGUCAUAACCCCACCGUGUUCCCGAUCGAAGAGAGAUCUUCAAAGGGACAUUCACGGUUACGCACACAGUUGGCAUUUUUUAUUAAUUUAUGUUUAAGUUCUCUAAUACCGGAUGUUAACAAAAUAUUCCAAGUUGCCACAUAACCGCGGGCACGGCUUUCCGAAAGAUUAAACCCUGCAGGGGUGCUCCAACUAGUCCAUCACAAACGAACACAGGCCGCAAAGGCAUCCUCUAUCACGAAUCUCGUGAUCUCGUCGGAUUCCUUAGAGGAAAACCUCAACUCUGGGUGAAACCAAAGCUUCACUGGGAUUCCUAUACGCAAGAUAUACCGCUAAGGCAAGACAAGACUAGCAGGACCUCCCGACGUGUCGACGACCCUGAUAAGAGCCGCGUAUCUCAGUCUCAGGACACGCCGGAUGAGUCACACUACAGGUAUACCAAACCUCAGGUUGCCCUGUGGUGGCCCCAUAGUCUGCCCAGUUUGGACCAACACUCAUGAGGAGCACUGGCCCGGGUUGUUGAUUAAAUUCCUCGGGUUAGCUAUUCCCUAUGCAGCUUAUUAUUAGGUGAUUAGCAAAUAGUACCAAAGUUGGGUCCUGCCGGACAAGCCUUAACACAACGCGAUUUAUCAAGGGGGUCCCCAUAACAACCCCGAACGUGUUAGGAGCGAUCAUUAUGGAAUCAAACACCGGUAACCGGUAACUGAGGCGGCAAUAACGGAACAAGACACCCGGCAAAAGGCUAGGCCUCCCGUCAUUUACCAAGUAUAUAGAUACAUUAAUUAAAUAACAGAAAUUAAUAUAAUGAUAUCAAUCUCAUGUCAUCACAUGAGUUUAAAUCACCUGCAACUAAAACGCUAACAUUGGUAGCUGAGCAAGCCUACCUAGCCAUGCAAGUUUGCUAGGAAAGAGUAAGGUGUUUAGGCUCAUGGCAUAUGAAGAGGCAAUAUAUUUUAAGUGGUAGGCAGCGAGAAAUAUGACGUGGAAUCGAAACUAACAUAACAAGUCUAGAUAUGGGAUCAAGGUCAUGUCAUCUUGCCUGUGAUAUCCUCAGCUUGGAAUGGUUCUGGAUCGUCCUGCACGUACUCUCCUGACUCCACGUAUUCGGUCUCCGCUCCCGGUGCUACCCAACACAAGAAUAACAGCCAAUGAACAGCAGCACCACAAGAUGCAACAAUCACAUGAUGCAUGAGAUGAAAGUUGAGCAUGCACCACUAUUUCUAACACUAGCACAAGCAAGAUAAACUACAACAAGUUCCUGGACAGAAUUUUGCACUAAACUAUUUGGACAUGCAUGGGAAUGAUAUGAACAGAUGCAUCUCGUAAAAACGGUGCAAAACCAUAUAAAGAACUUUGCCAACGGAGCUACGGAUCAACGGGAAUCGACGAAACACGAUAUGAAGCCCUACAUGAAAGAUUCAACCCCACACACUCAAUUGGCACAGAUCAGGUGUUCCCAGGUUGCCAAGACAUAUAUUAACCCAACAUGAAUGAAAAGGAGCAAGGUAGAACACCACAACAACAAUUAAGCACAAACUUUGAACAAAAUGGCAAAACUAUGCAAUCUGCCAGUUUCUGCAUCUUAGCUGUUUGUGAGCCACAUGAAACAUAGCUACAGGUCUUCAAAUAUGACAAAUAAUAUAUGUGCCUGUUGCCAACCAAGAACACUACAAGCUCCAGCAAUAAUCACAGCAAAAGGAAUUAAACUCUAGAAGAUACAAGGCCACAAACUUUCCCAAAACCAUCAGUUCUCAGGGACUUGGUGAAAAUUCCUGCACCUGAGACUCUGUUUCUGUUCUGAAGCUUUUUGACAGUAAUCAAAACACAAUCUACUGGACUCCAAAUAAAUUGAAAAUUGACAGGAAGCUUCACAAACAUCCCAGGUUCAAAACACUAGCACUGAACUAAGUCCAGUUCUCAACAGAAUGACCAGCACUUCCUUAUCUACAGGGGAAGAAAAUGUUUCCAGCAUCCCAGACUUAGUGAAAUUUUCAGAGUUCAAAAAUCUGGAAUUUUCCAGCCACAUGCCCACUUUGUCUAGGCAUAGUUUGCACACGCAUGUUACCAAGAGGUGAUUGACACCACUAUGGUGUUGAGCACAAACCCCUACUAUUAACACACAAAGAUCCAUGCCCUUGGGCUCCAUCUAUACCAUGGAAUCAAGGACCAAACUUCCAACAAAAUUGUAAAUGCAACUCCAUAAGGUAUGCUUCUAAGAUGACAAUACAUAGGUGAGUUUUUAUGUGUACAAUGACAAAGUGACAUGGGGGUUUGAACCCCAUGUUUGUGUCAUGGACAUCAACAAUACCAACAUAUCUACCAAACUAUCCCCACACACAAACACCAUGCCCUCUCACAUAUAGACAUGUGAAGGUGCAUAGUUUUUGCAAGGGUGGGGAAGUUCCACACACACUCACAUACUCCACAUGAUCUUAGCUACCAACUAAAACAAGGUCAACUCCAUAUGUAAACACACAACCUAGUGCAUCAACACAUGAUAGCACUUACAACAAAGAAGAAGCUACACAAGUUUGCUACUUCACUUGCUAGCUUCACCUAGGAUAAACUACUAGGUAGGACCAGCAUGCACACACCAUAUGUCAAGCUUCUCCAUAUGUAAAUGGCCUCACACCCACAUGCAAUUCUCACAAGCCACACACUACAUCACCUAACCUAGAAAUAACAGCAAGAAAAUAAAAUAGAAACAAGCUGCCAUGACCACCUAUGGGUAUAACAGGAACUACAAAGCAAAGAUGAAUCAAUAUAGCAGCAAAGAGAAAAAAAAGGAACUUCCUGGGAUUCGAUCCCAGUACUCCCUCUGGUAACCCAGAGCACCAAUACCACUCCACUGAUCACCAUGCACUCGACAGAGGAGGGGUACAUGGCGAGAUAACCUCUCUGCUGCUGGUACUACUUACGAACAGGAAAUAAAACCAAAAAAAAAAUAGGGGCGGUGCACCACCGGGGACUCGAACCCUGCACCUCUCGUUGACCAACAAGAGUCACUACCACUGCCCUACUGCAACUACAUCUGACAGAGGAAGGACCUGAAGCGAGAAAUACCAAGACCAUCGCUGUCUCUGCUCCACAACUGCGCGCCGGCGACAGAGAAGACGCCGUGGCGAGCAACUGCUGCCGCUGCGCCGCUCGAGGGCGACCUGCCGAAGUGGGAUGGCGCUACGAGGGGGAGGAAGAACCCUACUACCACUACCAACUACAAGCCUCUCCUGCAGAGAACACCAUGCACACAAGCUGAAGAAGCUACAACUUUGCUCGACGGAACUGCACGACGACAGGGAGUUCGCCGGCGUCCUAUUGCUGCAGCAGCUACCGGAGGAACCGAAGCAACCCGAGGAGAUGGAUCCCCUGCUACUAUCUACGCACAGCCGUGGGGCUACCUCGUCUACAUCGACACGAACGGCGGAAGUCUACUCUGCCUGCGCCAACUAGCAGAGAAACAACUACACGUACAGCCUGCCGGUACAACUCCGGCAAGCCUCGAGCAGGAGGCUCGGCGCCACUUCCGAAGAGGAAACUAGGAGGGGGAGAGGCACGGUCUCGCUCACCUUGCGUCGAGAGGAGAGGCGCCCGACGUGGAAGAAGAAGAAGUGCGCCUACUGCUGCAGGUAAAAGCCGCUGGGCGAGGAAGAAGGUGCUCGUCGGGGACGUCGAGGAAGAAGCCCCGGCUCCGGCUCCGCGCGAAAAUGGAACCCCUCCUCGGUCCUCUUGCUUGCGCAGCUACGGGGAGGCGACGAGGUGGCCGCUACGCCGGCGACGAGCUCGACCCGGUGCUGGUCAUGGCGUUGGGGACGACGAGAGUCUCACUGGCGGCGCUGGAGGGAGAGGACGAGGGAGAGGAGGAACCCUAGAGUGGUGGGGAGGCUGAGGG
rnacentral:lncRNA from 1 species